GAUGAACGCUGGCGGCGUGCCUAACACAUGCAAGUCGAGCGAUUUACUUCGGUAAAGAGCGGCGGACGGGUGAGUAACGCGUGGGUAACCUGCCCUGUACACACGGAUAACAUACCGAAAGGUAUGCUAAUAUGAGAUAAUAUGCUUUUAUCGCAUGGUAGAAGUAUCAAAGCUCCGGCGGUACAGGAUGGACCCGCGUCUGAUUAGCUAGUUGGUAAGGUAACGGCUUACCAAGGCGACGAUCAGUAGCCGACCUGAGAGGGUGAUCGGCCACAUUGGAACUGAGACACGGUCCAAACUCCUACGGGAGGCAGCAGUGGGGAAUAUUGCACAAUGGGCGAAAGCCUGAUGCAGCAACGCCGCGUGAGCGAUGAAGGCCUUCGGGUCGUAAAGCUCUGUCCUCAAGGAAGAUAAUGACGGUACUUGAGGAGGAAGCCCCGGCUAACUACGUGCCAGCCGCCGCCGUAAUAC
rnacentral:rRNA from 1 species